rnacentral:rRNA from 1 species
GUGCACGCUGGCGGUAGGCCUAACCCCUGCAAGUCGAACGGCAGCACAGUAAGCGCUUGCUCUUACGGGUGGCGAGUGGCGGACGGGUGAGGAAUACAUCGGAAUCUACUUUUUCGUGGGGGAUAACGUAGGGAAACUUACGCUAAUACCGCAUCCGACCUACGGGUGAAAGCAGGGGAUCUUCGGACCUUGCGCGAUUGAAUGAGCCGAUGUCGGAUUAGCUAGUUGGCGGGGUAAAGGCCCACCAAGGCGACGAUCCGUAGCUGGUCUGAGAGGAUGAUCAGCCACACUGGAACUGAGACACGGUCCAGACUCCUACGGGAGGCAGCAGUGGGGAAUAUUGGACAAUGGGCGCAAGCCUGAUCCAGCCAUACCGCGUGGGUGAAGAAGGCCUUCGGGUUGUAAAGCCCUUUUGUUGGGAAAGAAAAGCAGCAGGUUAAUACCCCGCUGUUCUGACGGUACCCAAAGAAUAAGCACCGGCUAACUUCGUG